UUUUGAUGGCCUACAGGCUGUCCGCUGCUGCAGAAGCCACCCUAACCUCUGAAGUGCUAAAGCAAAGCUUCAGCGGAGUAAAAUGUCAACGAGCUGGUGACCAGCAUGCUUGUGAAGCAUUAAGCUGAACACAAAGCUACUCGACAGCCCAUGAUGGUGUGGGGGAGAUGGGACUUUAGAGGAAAGUAUCACAAACCAAGUCAAACGAGAGAGACUCCUGGGUCCAGGUAAACAAGGAGAAGGAGAGAAAUCACCUGCAGUGGACAGUUUCACCCUCCUGUCGCAAACUGAUUCCACAGACAUGAGUAAGGAGCAGCCUAGCAUGAGCUUGUCUUCUGGAGAGGAGCAGUGAGCUGGAGCACGAUGGCAAUGUGAAUAUAAAGCAAACGCAUUGGUAACAUAUGGCUGUGUUGUGGGAGAUGUCAGAGGGGGAUUCGCUUUCAUGAAAGGGAUUGAGAAGGGUGCCUCUAAUGUGGAAGCAAUUACAGUGAGUCACCGUGCUGGAAUCCUAUACAAUGUUUUCCAUUUGCAGGUCAAUGUCCGUGUCUACAUAGUGGCAUGGAUAUGCUAGCAUUAUUAGUGCUGGAAGAUCAUAUUCUCAAGCAUGAGUCUGCACUUUCGUUCACAGGGGAGGAAAGUCUCCUGUCUUCUGACUGUUUCUGUAUUUUGAUAUGAGGAGGGGGUGGGGUUACUUUCAGGUUUUCAGUCUAAUACACUUCUACAUGUAGCUCAAGAUAGACCUAAAUGUUUCAUGCUAAUGCUCUGCAUUCAACAUACAUUUUACAUGCGCACAGCCACAUUAAAUUAUUAACUGAAAUGUAAGGUCUUUAAAGCAGUCACCUGACCAAGUACAACUGGAUGAUUAUUCAAGCAAAAUGCAAACAAGGCAGGCUAAUAAUGUCCACGUAGUGUUUACCUUUGGGGAGAUCACUGGCUUCCCAAGCCCUCAUUAUGUAAAAAGAGAUUUCACUAGAAUCACCCCUGGUUGUAAUUGAAGUCAGGGCUUAUGUAUUUGUGGUGCACUGGGAAGGUUAGUAGUUCUCUGUUUGACUUCUCCCCUUGUACGUUCUGCAAAUUGA